GUCAGAAUUAAGCCACAACUUACCUAUAGUUUUGUUUCUUGCGGUUGAAAACAGGACAGAGAGAAUCACACCCAAGGGUGGUGACCAAACAGUGUAGAACUCAAUAAGUUUGUCUGGCCUCAAUCGAACCGCUAUUCCUUGGUUCUCUUGUUCAAAGUGAAAAAGAGCAACA